AUUGAACGCCGGCGGCAUGCCUAACACAUGCAAGUCGAACGGGGCGCUUCGGCGCCUUGUGGCGGACGGGUGAGUAAAGCGUAGGAAUCUGCCUUGUAGUGGGGGACAACCUGGGGAAACUCAGGCUAAUACCGCAUACGCUCGCGAGAGGAAAGCGGGGGGAUCUUCGGACCUCGCGCCGCAAGAAGAGCCUACGUCCGAUUAGCUAGUUGGUAGGGUAAAAGCCUACCAAGGCGACGAUCGGUAGCUGGUCUGAGAGGAUGAUCAGCCACACUGGGACUGAGACACGGCCCAGACUCCUACGGGAGGCAGCAGUGGGGAAUAUUGGACAAUGGGCGCAAGCCUGAUCCAGCAAUGCCGCGUGGGUGAAGAAGGCCUGCGGGUUGUAAAGCCCUUUAAGUGGGGAGGAACGGCGGGAUGCGAACAGUGUUCUGCUCUGACGUUACCCACAGAAUAAGCACCGGCUAACUCCGUGCCAGCAGCCGCGGUAAU
rnacentral:rRNA from 1 species